rnacentral:rRNA from 1 species
CAGCCCUAAACGAUGCGCGUUAGGUGUAUCGGUGACCACGAGUCACCGAGGUGCCGAAGGGAAACCGUGAAACGUGCCGCCUGGGAAGUACGGUCGCAAGGCUGAAACUUAAAGGAAUUGGCGGGGGGAGCACCACAACGGGUGGAGCCUGCGGUUUAAUUGGACUCAACGCCGGGAAGCUCACCGGAUAAGACAGCGGAAUGAUUGCCGGGCUGAAGACUCUGCAUGACCAGCUGAGAGGAGGUGCAUGGCGUAGUCGUGU